rnacentral:rRNA from 1 species
UGGGGAAUAUUGCACAGUGGAGGGAACUCUGAUGCAGCGACGCCGCGUGAACGAAGAAGGCUUUCGAGUCGUAAAGUUCUUUUAUAUGGGAAGAUAAUGACGGUACCAUAAGAAAAAGCCCCGGCUAACUAGGUGCCAGCAGCCGCGGUAAUACGUAGGGGGCUAGCGUUGUCCGGAAUCACUGGGCGUAAAGGGUUCGCAGGCGGAAAUGCAAGUCAGGUGUAAAAGGCAGUAGCUUAACUACUGUAAGCAUUUGAAACUGCAUAUCUUGAGAAGAGUAGAGGUAAGUGGAAUUUUUAGUGUAGCGGUGAAAUGCGUAGAUAUUAAAAAGAAUACCGGUGGCGAAGGCGACUUACUGGGCUCAUUCUGACGCUGAGGAACGAAAGCGUGGGUAGCAAACAGG